GACGAACGCUGGCGGCGUGCUUAACACAUGCAAGUCGAACGGUAAGGCCCUUCGGGGUACACGAGUGGCGAACGGGUGAGUAACACGUGGGUGAUCUGCCCUGCACUUCGGGAUAAGCCUGGGAAACUGGGUCUAAUACCGGAUAGGACUCCUAGCUUCAUGGUUGGGGGUGGAAAGCUUUUGCGGUGUGGGAUGGGCCCGCGGCCUAUCAGCUUGUUGGUGGGGUAAUGGCCUACCAAGGCGACGACGGGUAGCCGGCCUGAGAGGGUGACCGGGAAACCUGGGACUGAGAUACGGCCCAGACUCCUACGGGAGGCAGAAGUGGGGAAUAUUGCACAAUGGGCGCAAGCCUGAUGCAGCGACGCCGCGUGAGGGAUGACGGCCUUCGGGUUGUAAACCUCUUUCAGCAUCGACGAAGCGAAAGUGACGGUAGGUGCAGAAGAAGGACCGGCCAACUACGUGCCAGCAGCCGCCGUAA
rnacentral:rRNA from 1 species